ACCAGUGAUCCCAAUCCCAGGACAGUGAUCCCAAUCCCAGCACAGUGAUUCCAAUCCCAGCACGGUGAUCCCAGCACAGUGAUCCCAAUCCCAAACCUGUGAUCUCAAUCCCAAACCUGUGAUCCCAGUCCAGGCUCGGUGAUCCCAGUCCUGCCCUGGGGAGAUCCAAGUCCUGGUGUGGGUGCUUCUGAUCCCAUCUGGUGCCACCAUGAUGAUCCCAGUCUGGCCCCAGUGCUCCCAGUCCCCCUGUGGUGCCCCCUGAUGCCCCUGUUUCCCUCCCCCAGCAAUACCAGGCUGCCAUCCGUGCUCACAGCGCCGGCAAAGCCGUGGAUCUCACGGAGCUGCCGGUUCCCCCAGGCUUCCCUCCUAUCCAGGGCACCGAGAUCCCGUCUGAGCCCAGCAUUUCUGGGAUGCUGGAGGCGGCCCUGAGGCUGACAGGGCCAGAGCACGAGGAGGAAGAGGAGGAGGAGCAGGAGGAGGAAGAGGGGGACAGCAAGGCAGCCAAGGUGCAGCCCCACGCUCCCCCUGC